rnacentral:rRNA from 1 species
GACGAACCGAGCGAACGUUGUUCGGAAUCACUGGGCUUAAGGGGCGCGUAGGCGGGCUGUCAAGUUUGGGGUGAAAUCCCGCGGCUCAACCGUGGAACUGCCUCAAAUACUGACGGUCUCGAGGGAGGUAGGGGCGAGCGGAACUGAUGGUGGAGCGGUGAAAUGCGUUGAUAUCAUCAGGAACUCCGGUGGCGAAGGCGGCUCGCUGGACCUUUUCUGACGCUGAGGCGCGAAAGCUAGGGGAGCAAACGGG